GGUCCCAUCGUCUAACGGUUAGGACGGGUCCCUCUCACGGACCAAAUCGGGGUUCGAUUCCCCGUGGGACUACCA
rnacentral:tRNA from 1 species